CAUGCCAGGAACUUUCCAGAGAUGGAUUGGUGCCCGAAAGGGAACCUGGACACAGGUGCUGCAUGGCUGUCGUCAGCUCGUGUCGUGAGAUGUUGGGUUAAGUCCCGCAACGAGCGCAACCNUUAUCCUUAGUUGCUACGCAAGGGCACUCUAGGGAGACUGCCGGUGACAAACCGGAGGAAGGUGGGGAUGACGUCAAGUCCUCAUGGCCCUUAUGUGUAGGGCUUCACACGUCAUACAAUGGUCGGUACAGAGGGUCGCCAACCCGCGAGGGGGAGCCAAUCCCAGAAAACCGAUCGUAGUCCGGAUUGCACUCUGCAACUCGAGUGCAUGAAGUCGGAAUCGCUAGUAAUCGCGGAUCAGCAUGUCGCGGUGAAUACGUUCCCGGGUCUUGUACACACCGCCCGUCACACCAUGGGAGUGGGUUCUACCAGAAGUAGGUAGCCUAACCGCAAGGAGGGCGCUUACCNCGGUAGGGCUCAUGACUGGGGUGAAGUCGU
rnacentral:rRNA from 1 species